rnacentral:rRNA from 1 species
UACGUAGGGCGCAAGCGUUGUCCGGAAUUACUGGGCGUAAAGAGUGUGUAGGCGGUGCUCUAAGUUUGGUGUGAAAUCUCCCGGCUCAACUGGGAGGGUGCGCCGAAAACUGGAAUGCUUGAACAUGGGAGAGGAAAGCGGAAUUCCUGGUGUAGCGGUGAAAUGCGUAGAUAUCAGGAGGAACACCUGCGGUGUAGACGGCUUUCUGGACCAUUGUUGACGCUGAGACACGAAAGCGUGGGUAGCAAACAGG